UGAACGCUGGCGGCAGGCCUAACACAUGCAAGUCGAGCGGUAACAGAUCUAGCUUGCUAGAUGCUGACGAGCGGCGGACGGGUGAGUAACGCGUAGGAAUCUACCCAGUAGCGGGGGAUAAGCCAGAGAAAUUUGGUCUAAUACCGCAUACGCCCUUCGGGGGAAAGCAGGGGAUCUUCGGACCUUGCACUAUUGGAUGAGCCUGCGUGAGAUUAGCUUGUUGGUGAGGUAAAGGCUCACCAAGGCGACGAUCUCUAGCUGGUCUGAGAGGAUGAUCAGCCACACUGGAACUGAGACACGGUCCAGACUCCUACGGGAGGCAGCAGUGGGGAAUAUUGCACAAUGGGCGCAAGCCUGAUGCAGCCAUGCCGCGUGUGUGAAGAAGGCCCUAGGGUUGUAAAGCACUUUCAGCAGUGAGGAAAGGUUGACGAUUAAUACUCGUUAGCUGUGACGUUAACUGCAGAAGAAGGACCGGCUAACUCC
rnacentral:rRNA from 1 species